rnacentral:rRNA from 1 species
ACGGGAGGCAGCAGUGAGGAAUAUUGGUCAAUGGGCGUAAGCCUGAACCAGCCAAGUCGCGUGAGGGAUGAAGGUUCUAUGGAUCGUAAACCUCUUUUAUAAGGGAAUAAAGUGCGGGACGUGUCCCGUUUUGUAUGUACCUUAUGAAUAAGGAUCGGCUAACUCCGUGCCAGCAGCCGCGGUAAUACGGAGGAUCCGAGCGUUAUCCGGAUUUAUUGGGUUUAAAGGGUGCGUAGGCGGCCUUUUAAGUCAGCGGUGAAAGUCUGUGGCUCAACCAUAGAAUUGCCGUUGAAACUGGGAGGCUUGAGUAUGUUUGAGGCAGGCGGAAUGCGUGGUGUAGCGGUGAAAUGCUUAGAUAUCACGCAGAACCCCGAUUGCGAAGGCAGCCUGCCAAGCCAUGACUGACGCUGAUGCACGAAAGCGUGGGGAUCAAACAGGAUUAGAUACCCUGGUAGUCCACGCAGUAAACGAUGAUCACUAGCUGUUUGCGAUACACAGUAA